rnacentral:rRNA from 1 species
UACAGAGGUCUCAAGCGUUGUUCGGAUUCAUUGGGCGUAAAGGGCGCGUAGGCGGGCUCGUCAGUCAGGGGUGAAAUCCCACGGCCCAACCGUGGAAGUGCCUCUGAUACUGCGGGCCUCGAGGGGGAUAGGGGCGUGCGGAACUCAGGGUGGAGCGGUGAAAUGCGUAGAUAUCCUGAGGAACACCGGUGGCGAAAGCGGCGCGCUGGAUCCCUUCUGACGCUGAGGCGCGAAAGCCAGGGGAGCAAACGGG